UACAGAGGGGGGCAAGCGUUGUUCGGAAUUACUGGGCGUAAAGGGCGCGUAGGCGGCCUUCUAAGUCGAACGUGAAAUCCCCGGGCUCAACCCGGGAACUGCGUCCGAUACUGGAAGGCUUGAAUCCGGGAGAGGGAUGCGGAAUUCCAGGUGUAGCGGUGAAAUGCGUAGAUAUCUGGAGGAACACCGGUGGCGAAGGCGGCAUCCUGGACCGGUAUUGACGCUGAGGUGCGAAAGCGUGGGGAGCAAACAGG
rnacentral:rRNA from 1 species